rnacentral:tRNA from 1 species
GGGCCAUUAGCUCAACUGGCAGAGCAUCGGACUUUUAAUCCGCUGGUUCCGGGUUCGAUCCCCGGAUGGCCCA